rnacentral:rRNA from 1 species
UGUCAGCAGCCGCGGUAAUACGGAGGAUCCGAGCGUUAUCCGGAUUUAUUGGGUUUAAAGGGUGCGUAGGCGGCCUGUUAAGUCAGGGGUGAAAGACGGUAGCUCAACUAUCGCAGUGCCUUUGAUACUGACGGGCUUGAAUGUACUUGAGGUAGGCGGAAUGUGACAAGUAGCGGUGAAAUGCAUAGAUAUGUCACAGAACACCAAUUGCGAAGGCAGCUUACUAAGGUAUGAUUGACGCUGAGGCACGAAAGCGUGGGGAUCAAACAGGAUUAGAUACCCUGGUAGUCCACGCCCUAAACGAUGAAUACUCGAUGUUGGCGAUAUACGGCCAGCGUCUAAGCGAAAGCGUUAAGUAUUCCACCUGGGGAGUACGCCCGCAAGGGUGAAACUUAAAUAAAUUGACGG